AUUGAACGCUGGCGGCAGGCCUAACACAUGCAAGUCGAGCGGAUGAAGGGAGCUUGCUCCUGGAUUCAGCGGCGGACGGGUGAGUAAUGCCUAGGAAUCUGCCUGGUAGUGGGGGAUAACGUCCGGAAACGGGCGCUAAUACCGCAUACGUCCUGAGGGAGAAAGUGGGGGAUCUUCGGACCUCACGCUAUCAGAUGAGCCUAGGUCGGAUUAGCUAGUUGGUGGGGUAAAGGCCUACCAAGGCGACGUUCCGUAACUGGGCUGAGAGGAUGAUCAGUCACACUGGAACUGAGACACGGUCCAGACUCCUACGGGAGGCAGCAGUGGGGAAUAUUGGACAAUGGGCGAAAGCCUGAUCCAGCCACGCCGCGUGUGUGAAGAAGGUCUUCGGAUUGUAAAGCACUUUAAGUUGGGAGGAAGGGCAGUAAGUUAAUACCUUGCUGUUUUGACGUUACCAACAGAAUAAGCACCGGCUAACUUCGUG
rnacentral:rRNA from 1 species